rnacentral:rRNA from 1 species
AGAGUUUGAUUCUGGCUCAGGAUGAACGCUGGCGGCGUGCUUAACACAUGCAAGUCGAGCGAAGCACUUAUCACUGAUUACUUCGGUAUGAUGAGAUUUGUGACUGAGCGGCGGACGGGUGAGUAACGCGUGGGAAGCCUGCCCUGAUCCGGGGGAUAACAGUUGGAAACGACUGCUAAUACCGCAUAAGCGCACAGAAUCGCAUGAUUCAGUGUGAAAAACUCCGGUGGAUCAGGAUGGUCCCGCGUCCGAUUAGCCAGUUGGCGGGGUAACGGCCCACCAAAGCGACGAUCGGUAGCCGACCUGAGAGGGUGACCGGCCACAUUGGGACUGAGACACGGCCCAAACUCCUACGGGAGGCAGCAGUGGGGAAUAUUGCACAAUGGGCGAAAGCCUGAUGCAGCGACGCCGCGUGAGUGAAGAAGUAUUUCGGUAUGUAAAGCUCUAUCAGCAGGGAAGAAAAUGACGGUACCUGCACAAGAAGCCCCGGCUAACUACGUGCCAGCAGCCGCGGUAAUACGUAGGGGGCGAGCGUUGUCCGGAAUGAUUGGGCGUAAAGGGCGCGUAGGCGGCCCGGUAAGUCUGAAGUGAAAGUCCUGCGUUCAACGUGGGAAUUGCUUUGGAUACUGUCGGGCUUGAGUGCAGGAGAGGUAAGUGGAAUUCCCAGUGUAGCGGUGAAAUGCGUAGAGAUUGGGAGGAACACCAGUGGCGAAGGCGACUUACUGGACUGUAACUGACGCUGAGGCGCGAAAGUGUGGGGAGCAAACAGGAUUAGAUACCCUGGUAGUCCACACUGUAAACGAUGAAUGCUAGGUGUAGGAGGUAUCGACCCCUUCUGUGCCGCAGUUAACACAAUAAGCAUUCCGCCUGGGGAGUACGGCCGCAGGUUGAAACUCAAAGGAAUUGACGGGGGCCCGCACAAGCAGCGGAGCAUGUGGUUUAAUUCGACGCAACGCGAAGAACCUUACCAGGGCUUGACAUAUACCGGAAUAUGGUGGAAACAUCAUAGCUCUUCGGAGCCAGUAUACAGGUGGUGCAUGGUUGUCGUCAGCUCGUGUCGUGAGAUGUUAGGUUAAGUCCUGCAACGAGCGCAACCCUUAUAUUUAGUUGCCAUCAUUAAGUUGGGAACUCUAAAUAGACUGCCGGUGACAAAUCGGAGGAAGGUGGGGAUGACGUCAAAUCAUCAUGCCCUUUAUGUCCUGGGCUACACACGUACUACAAUGGCUGUUACAGAGAGAAGCGAGACCGCGAGGUGGAGCAAAUCCCUAAAAGCUGUCCCAGUUCGGACUGCAGGCUGCAACCCGCCUGCACGAAGUCGGAAUUGCUAGUAAUCGCGGAUCAGCAUGCCGCGGUGAAUACGUUCCCGGACCU